rnacentral:rRNA from 1 species
ACGUAGGGGGCAAGCGUUGUCCGGAUUUAUUGGGCGUAAAGAGCUCGUAGGCGGCUGUCCACGUCGGGUGUGAAAGCUCGGGGCUCAACCCUGAGAGGUCAUUCGAUACGGGACGGCUUGAGGCAGCUAGGGGAGAUUGGAAUUCCUGGUGUAGCGGUGAAAUGCGCAGAUAUCAGGAGGACACCGGUGGCGAAGGCGGAUCUCUGGGGCUGUUCUGACGCUGAGGAGCGAAAGCUGGGGGAGCAAACAGGA